UUCGCGGUAUAUAAACAACCACAUUUGCCAUCCUCUGGCACAGUUCCAUUCUGUGGAUACAAUCGCCUAAAACGAAAAGCCUAAGCCACCCCAAACAAACAAAACAAAAACACCAUGGCCAACCUUAGCUUCUUCCUGUUGUUGCUGGUCGCGAUCUUUUUGAUUUUCUCCGAUUGCAUGGAGGCAGUUUACGGAGCGGAUACAUCGGGGGGUGGUGUGGCGAGCGGAUUAACGGACAGAACAUCGGGUGUUUUAGGCGGCACUCGCUAAUAGCAAGAAGAGGUGGCCCGGUUAAUCCGCCGAAACGAAAAAAAACAAGAUACGACCAAAAUGGCUAAUUCCAAUAAAUAAUAUACAUUUAAUCCUGCACUAAUCAAAAACAAA